rnacentral:rRNA from 1 species
AUGGACGGCAUGGAGUUCUUCUUUGAGGAAGCAGGAGCAGGGCUCGUACUGCGUUUGGUCAGAGGGGUUGUCUUAAGAGAGCUGGUCGCCGGCGCGAGUGGAACUGUUGAUGCGGGGGCCGAGUUGAUUUCUUCUCUGCCAAUGGGACAAGCUAGAGGCCACAUGGAUUACGAAGGGGGAGGAGAGACUAGCAAAGGGAUGGGCGAUUCAUGCGACACGGGAGCUGCAAAUAUAGCCUGUGAUGCCGCGGACCAAGAUGCAGAUAAAGAGGGUGUGGGAGUGUCCAAUACAGAUCUAUCUUGUUGGACCAGGAAGUUAUUUUGUUAUCCGUCACCUUGUAGCUGUUUUCGAUCUUGUUGA